rnacentral:rRNA from 1 species
CCUACGGGGGGCAGCAGUGGGGAAUAUUGCACAAUGGGGGAAACCCUGAUGCAGCGACGCCGCGUGAGUGAAGAAGUAUUUCGGUACGUAAAGCUCUAUCAGCAGGGAAGAAAAUGACGGUACCUGACUAAGAAGCCCCGGCUAACUACGUGCCAGCAGCCGCGGUAAUACGUAGGGGGCAAGCGUUAUCCGGAUUUACUGGGUGUAAAGGGAGCGUAGACGGCAGCGCAAGUCUGGAGUGAAAUCCCAUGGCUUAACCAUGGAACUGCUUUGGAAACUGUGUAGCUAGAGUGCAGGAGAGGUAAGCGGAAUUCCUAGUGUAGCGGUGAAAUGCGUAGAUAUUAGGAGGAACACCAGUGGCGAAGGCGGCUUACUGGACUGUAACUGACGUUGAGGCUCGAAAGCGUGGGGAGCAAACAGGAUUAGAUACCCGGGUAGUC